AACGAACGCUGGCGGCGUGCCUAACACAUGCAAGUCGAGCGAUGAAAUCCCUUCGGGGAUGGAUUAGCGGCGGACGGGUGAGUAACACGUGGGUAACCUGCCUCAAAGAGGGGGAUAGCCUCCCGAAAGGGAGAUUAAUACCGCAUAACAUUAGUUUUUCGCAUGAAGAACUAAUUAAAGGAGUAAUCCGCUUUGAGAUGGACCCGCGGCGCAUUAGCUAGUUGGUGAGGUAACGGCUCACCAAGGCGACGAUGCGUAGCCGACCUGAGAGGGUGAUCGGCCACAUUGGAACUGAGACACGGUCCAGACUCCUACGGGAGGCAGCAGUGGGGAAUAUUGCACAAUGGGCGAAAGCCUGAUGCAGCAACGCCGCGUGAGUGAUGAAGGCCUUCGGGUUGUAAAGCUCUGUCUUUGGGGACGAUAAUGACGGUACCCAAGGAGGAAGCCACGGCUAACUACGUGCCAGCAGCCGCGGUAACAC
rnacentral:rRNA from 1 species